CAAACCGCCAAAAACUGUCCUUCGCACUUACACUAGCUGAGUAACGGGUAUCAGAUAGUCGGGGAACUCGACUAUAGCGUUCUCUCUUGUUUUAUAUUAUAUUGUUUGGAAAUAAAUGGCGGCAAUCAAUUUCUCGUGCAAGCAGACCUUACUUGAGGAACUUACCAACACCAUUAUUCCUAAUGGUGUAAAUGCCUUCCACUGUGAUAUUGCACAUCGAUAUUUUAUCAACGGACAAAAAAUACUUUCUCACCUGCAUUGACAAGCUUUCUAAAUUCGCUAUGGUACAGCCGAUUCCGUGUAGAACCAUAGAGGAUCUAAAAGAACCCAUGCUACAACUCAUGAAUGUUUUACCCAGGGCCAAAGCCAUAUACUGCGGCAAUGAACCAUUUCGCCGUCAGCAUCUCGAAUGCACCGCCCCUCCAUAGCGUCUCCAACAGGCAGGUGGAACGCUUCCACAGCACGUUGAUCGAACUUGCUAGAAGCCUAAAAAUGGAUAAAGGCAUAAGUGGAGUUGAUCUCGCUGGCCACUGCCAGAUAUAACCAAUCAAUCCAUUCUGUCAUUAACAAAAAGCCAGCUGAGGUCAUGCGGGUAAAUCGGGACGAUCCACAGGAUGAUGUCCAGGAAAAAAUAAAAAAUGCCCUAAACACCCUAAGCAGACAGAGCGUUCAAAGUUGACGAUAAAGUCCUAUUAAAGUCAAACAGGCGACUAGGCAACAAGCUUACUCCCCUAUGUGAGGAGAGGACCAUCGAGGCGGACUUGGGGACCACAGUCCUAAUUAAAGGGAGGGUGGUCCACAAAGAGAACCUCAAGUAACCCAAGCAGGUCCCAGUUGCGGAUCCCUCGGAAUUUUCUUUAUUUUUCUAUUCAUAGCCACUUGGCAUAAGUUUUCAUAGUUUUUUCAUUAUUUUUUGCCACUUGGCAUAAGUUUUAUUAUUUUUUAUUAUUCAUAGCCACUUGGCAUGUUUUUUAUAACGUCUUAGUAUAAUUUAUUUUAUAUCAUCUAUUUACUCCAUUUAUUGGUGGUGGGCAACUCCAUUCAGAAUUCGUGUUAAUCAAUCACACAUAUUACAGGACGUUUCCAACGCUUCUACUCUGUUUUCUGGCCAUGCCAUCGGCCCAUAUUACCGACUACUCCCGAGCAAAUUACAUUCCCGUCAUCGACGGUAGAGUCUUAGUCUGUGAGGAAUUCGUUUACGUUAAACACAGCCAAUAUCUCUGAGUAAAGGCGGGUGGUGGAAGAAACCGACAGCAUGGCCGAUAUGUUUCCCCAAUCCCACAUGAGAAUGCUCCUGAACAUUACCAUCGCUUAUCUCCGUGAUAUGCUCGACUCGUUGAGCGUCCAUCACCGAGAUGCCAGGAGCUUAGACUUUCUGGGAACUGCGUUAAAGGUUGUCGCAGGGACACCUGACGCUAAAGACUUGGAAAAGAUCAAGUUUACUGAAGCACGACUAAUUGAAUCACACAACAGCCAAAUUGAAAUCGACACCAGAACACAAGUUCGAAUUAACGAACUCAAAUAGAUUUUAAAGGCUAACUAACAUCUUUAACCAUUACCUGUGGCUAUAGUACUUCUCGAAUGAAUGGAAGCGCGGCGAAGUAAUAGUCCUCCUCAAGCCUCAAACCUGAAGCCAAUCUAGCCUCCUAUCGUCCGACUAGUUUGCUGGCAAUUUUUUUCAAAAAUACUUGAAAGAGUAUUUCUGCGCAAAUAUUGCCAAUCUGGACGAGACCGGACUGAUCCCUGAUCAUUAGACGGAGUACUGCUGCGCCGUUUUUCUGGACUUCUUUUUACAAUCAUACCCCUUCAAAAUUCGCACUUCGCCAUUCUCAAGUCGUAUCCUCGAAUCGAUGAAACAUCGUAGUCAACGCGGAGAAAUCUCCGCAUACAACCUUCGCACUAAGCAGGGGAGAAUGUCCCCCCGUCACACUCAAAGGGGAAACUAUCUCAUCGAUAGUUUCACCUGAACGCAACCGGGCCGGCCUUCGACUAAAGCAACUCCACUGGCCUAAACUUAAAUCUUAACCUUAAAUCUUAAACUUAAACUUAAACGAAAAUCUCCAACUCCUCAUCUACAAAGCAAUUUUGAAGUCAAUCUGCACCUAUAUGAUACAGCUGUGGAGCACGGCAACCGUUUCAACCCGGGUAACGGAGGAGACCAACCCAACCACCUUGCCAUCCACCUCCUAGACAAUAAGCAAUCCCUGAAAUGCCUAACUUGCCUGACUUGGAUGACUUGGUCUGUAAAAGUUGAAGCUCAUUUGCAAAUCGGGAUGUUGUUAACUGCUUCUUAAGUUAAGAGGGCGAUUUCACGUUUCCCAGGUGAAGGAGAGUGUGAUGCUUAGAUCCACAUGGACGACAAAUGCCGGAGUUGCACUGCCUCAGUUCAUUUAUGCAAGAAGUGAUCCUUUUUGCUUUUAGCUGAGGUCCGGUUUUCAAAGCUCUGGUAAUAAUAUAUUAAGUGUCCAGAAGCAUUGCAGAAGGCACUGAUCGCAGUGCUCAGACUUGUGGCUAGAAAGGCGGACAUACGUACAUGAGAUGUUUUAUUACUUCCCAUUUGAUUGCACGCAUAGCGUGCCUGAAAAACUAAACGAUGAUUGGGGCAAAUCUAUUUUGUAAUAAAUCCAAUUAUAUAGCAUAGUUACAUCAUAAAAAGAACGGACUCGUCAAAAAAAUGUAAUGCUGAGCAUGAUAAUUGUUCCACUCACUCUAUUAUAAAUGACAGCCGCCUAGCGUUUUAAAUAUGUCACCCUGUUUGUAUCAGCGGAACCGUUUGGGUGAUUUGCACUAUGUAUUUGACCCCAUGUCGGGGUCAGUGUUGAGCUAAUAAGCUUUUGUAUAUGAUUUAUAUUCGAAUGAAUAAAUUUUAAUUUGA